rnacentral:lncRNA from 1 species
UUUAAAUUGAUUUCUAUCAAGAUUUGUGUUCAAUCCCACCACAUGGAUGUUUUUGUAAAAAUCGAUGUUAUCACUAAUAUGUGUAUUUCUUGCUUUGCCUUCGAAUAAUUGAUCAAUCAGGUUUGUUUUUUGCUAAUCAUUUUAGAUAAACGUGUUGAUUUUGAUAAUCGAAUUCAUUUUUGGGUUAAUUUCUGACCCAACUCCAAAACCCCAUCUCGAUUUCUUUGUUCAUCUCCAUAUUUAUAUGUUUAUAUGGUAUGAUGACUUUAUAAUCGUUUCCACAUAUUACUUUUGUGUAAAAAAGAAAAUAUUGAUACAGUGUUUGUGAUUAAAUUAAAUGUUGGUGUCAAUGUAAUUAGUUCAAGUGGAAGCUAACAAUUUAGUAGUAAGAAAUUGGGAAUUGAUGCAGUUAGGCAUUCUGCACAAGAUGUAUAUCAAAAGCUUCUUCCUUAUAAUAUCGGAUUCAUUCCAAAAGAGUUUGCUGUAAGUUUCACUUAUACUCUAUCACAUUUUUUUCCAUCUAUUGUUUGUCUUUUUUUCUAAUUUUUUUCUGGACUUUGGUGAUGAACCAUUGGCUUAUGAAUCAAUCAUCCACAAGAAUUGAUAAACAUUAUUAAAGUAUUAAAAGAUUUUUGUAUGACUGUUUAUUUUCACUAUUAUGCAAGUAUCUAAAAUAAGUUUUUAUCAUUUAAAGGUUUAAAAUUAAAAUAAAAUAUUAUUUGUUUUGCUUUUAAUCAUUAUCUAUAUAGGCUUUAUACCGGUACUUGAUUCAUAAACCAAGUUGGGUGUUCGUGUAGGGUUGAGGAUGGCUUUAUCUAUGAUGGACACCAUCAAAAAAAAAAAAAAACAAUGAAUGAGAUGACAAAUGUAAGAAAUUUGAUUUUAAAUAUUAAUUUUUCUUUACUAUUUGCUCUAAUCAUUUAAGAUUUUAUUUGAAUUAUGUUUAGGUUUGUUGAUCUAAGUGUAUGUUCAAGCUCACAAUGCAACUUGGGGAUCAAUGGAAAGAAGAUCAUGUGAUCGGGGAAAAUAAAUCGAUUUUCGGAUGCAAGGUUAUGAGAUUCCUCAAGAAUGGUUAG